UACGAAGGGGGCUAGCGUUGUUCGGAAUUACUGGGCGUAAAGCGCGCGCAGGCGGCUAUCCAAGUCAGUGGUGAAAGCCCGGAGCUCAACUCCGGAACUGCCAUUGAAACUGUUUAGCUUGAGGACGAGAGAGGUGAGUGGAAUUCCCAGUGUAGUGGUGAAAUGCGUAGAUAUCGGGAGGAACACCAGUGGCGAAGGCGGCUUUCUGGCCUGUUCUUGACGCUGAGGCGCGAAAGCUAGGGGAGCAAACGGG
rnacentral:rRNA from 1 species